GAGGCCAAGGUAAGUCCUCUGCCCUGUGCGUGUUUAGGCAGCUUGUAGUAUAAUAGUUUACUAAUCGGGCUUAGUGGGGUAGAACUCGCUGAGACGUAGUCUCAUCCCAGUUUGGGGAAAACAUUUCAGGACCCCAAUGAGGAGCUGAUGAGGAGGAGUCUGAGAAGGAGAACUCGGAGGUGAGACUUAAGGAGAAAGAUUUUUGGGAGAAGAAGAUAAUCCCGAGAAGAGCCUUGAGUACGGCCCAGAUGGCUGAGAGUUUAUCUUAUUUUGAGAUCUCCUUUUUGAUGUGAUUAAAGUUUAGAGUAAAAAGUUGUAGAGUGCUCUGGUUUGUGUUUUGUAUAAAAGUUUGGUUAUAAGUUUCAAUAUGAAAAAUAUGGCCCUGCUUUUCUAUCCCAUCG
rnacentral:lncRNA from 1 species